CGGAACGGGUGGAGUAAUGCGUGACCAACCUGCCCCAUGCUCCAGAAUAGCUCUUGGAAACGGGUGGUAAUGCUGGAUGCUCCAACUUGACGCAUGUCUUGUUGGGAAAGUGUUUAGUGGCAUGGGAUGGGGUCGCGUCCUAUCAGCUUGUAGGCGGGGUAAUGGCCCACCUAGGCUUCGACGGGUAGCCGGCCUGAGAGGGCGGACGGCCACAUUGGGACUGAGAUACGGCCCAGACUCCUACGGGAGGCAGCAGCC
rnacentral:rRNA from 1 species